rnacentral:rRNA from 1 species
GCUUGACUGUACCUUGGAAUUGGGUCGGGCUUUUCUUGCGCAGACAUACGGUGGGAGGCUAUGAAGAUUUUCUUCUGGGAAAGUUGGAGCCAACAGUGAGAGACCACUCUGAAAAGGCUAGAAUCCUAAUGGUGAUCCUUGAAUCAGGACACUUGACAGUUUCAGGUGGGCAGUUUUUCUGGGCGGAAGCCUCAUAAAAGGUAACUGAGGCGCGCAAAGGUCCCCUCAGUCUGGACGGAAAUCAGACAUUGAGUGUAAAGGCAAAAGGGGGCUUGACUGCAAGACCCACAAGUCGAGCAGCGGGCGAAAGCUGGCCUUAGUGAUCCGACGGUGCGUGUGGAAGGGCCGUCGCUCAACGAAUAAAAGUUA